AGGUGGUGCAUGGUUGUCGUCAGCUCGUGUCGUGAGAUGUUGGGUUAAGUCCCGCAACGAGCGCAACCCUCGUCCUAUGUUGCCAGCAUUAAGUUGGGGACUCAUAGGAGACUGCCGGGGUCAACUCGGAGGAAGGUGGGGAUGACGUCAAAUCAUCAUGCCCCUUAUGCCUAGGGCUGCACGCAUGCUACAAUGGCCGAUACAGAGGGCUGCGAUACCGCAAGGUGGAGCGAAUCCCAAAAAGUCGGUCUCAGUUCGGAUUGGGGUCUGCAACUCGACCCCAUGAAGUUGGAGUUGCUAGUAAUCGCAGAUCAGCAACGCUGCGGUGAAUACGUUCCCGGACCUUGUACACACCGCCCGUCACGUCACGAAGUCGGUAACACCCGAAGCCGGUGGCCUAACCGUAAGGA
rnacentral:rRNA from 1 species